rnacentral:rRNA from 1 species
UACGUAGGCGGCGAGCGUUAUCCGGAAUCAUUGGGUUUAAAGGGUCCGUAGGCGGUUUAAUAAGUCAGUGGUGAAAGCCCAUCGCUUAACGAUGGAACGGCCAUUGAUACUGUUAGACUUGAAUUAUUAGGAAGUAACUAGAAUAUGUAGUGUAGCGGUGAAAUGCUUAGAUAUUACAUGGAAUACCAAUUGCGAAGGCAGGUUACUACUAAUGGAUUGACGCUGAUGGACGAAAGCGUGGGGAGCGAACAGG